rnacentral:rRNA from 1 species
AUGGCCACCACCUCCGCCGUCUGCCCCCUCGCCGUCCUUGCGCCGUCGCCGUCGCCGCUCGCUUCAGGUCGCCGCCGCCCUGCCGCACCCUUCUGGGCCGCCUCCCGCCCGCGCGCUCUCCCCGCCGCCCCCCGCGGCCGCGUCCUCUGCCUCGCCGCCUCCGCCCCCGCCUCCUCCACCGACGCCGGCCAGGACCGCCUCCAGAAGGUCCCCAUUACCAACAUCAGGAACUUCUGCAUCAUCGCGCACAUCGACCAUGGGAAAUCGACUCUGGCGGAUAAGCUCCUCGAGAUGACAGGGACGGUGCAGAAGAGGGAUAUGAAACAGCAGUUCCUGGAUAACAUGGACCUGGAGAGGGAGAGGGGGAUCACAAUCAAACUGCAGGCAGCUCGGAUGCGUUACGUCAUGAACAAUGAGCCUUACUGCCUGAACUUAAUCGAUACACCAGGUCAUGUCGAUUUCUCAUAUGAGGUCUCCCGAUCUCUUGCUGCUUGUGAGGGUGCACUGCUGGUUGUUGAUGCUUCUCAGGGUGUUGAAGCGCAGACCUUAGCAAAUGUGUAUCUUGCACUGGAAAGCAACCUCGAAAUCAUACCGGUUCUAAACAAAAUUGAUCUUCCUGGUGCUGAACCUGACCGCAUCGCCCAAGAGAUUGAAGAGAUAAUUGGCUUGGACUGCAGUAAUGCAAUUAGGUGUUCAGCAAAGGAGGGCAUAGGCAUCAUCGAAAUACUAGAUGCCAUUGUGACCAAGGUCCCCCCACCAAAGGAUACUUUAAAAAAUCCUCUCAGGGCUCUUAUAUUUGACAGCUAUUAUGAUGCAUACAGAGGUGUCAUUGUGUAUUUUCGAGUUAUUGAUGGCAGUAUAAGGAAAGGGGACAAGAUAUGUUUUAUGGCCAAUAAAAAGGAAUAUGUUGCUGAUGAAAUUGGUGUACUAUCCCCCAAUCAGAUGGAAGCUGAUGAACUGCAUGCUGGUGAGGUCGGCUAUCUCUCUGCUUCCAUAAGAUCAGUAGCAGAUGCUAGGGUGGGUGAUACAAUUACCCAUUUUGCAAAAAGAGCGGAAUCUGCUUUACCAGGAUAUUCAGAAGCUACUCCAAUGGUUUUCUGCGGCUUGUUUCCUUUAGAGGCAGAUCAGUUUGAGGAGUUGCGGGAAGCAUUGGGGAGACUUCAGCUAAAUGAUGCUGCCCUAAAGUUCGAGCCGGAAUCUUCUAGUGCCAUGGGGUUCGGAUUUAGAUGUGGGUUCCUUGGUCUUCUUCAUAUGGAAAUCGUUCAGGAAAGGCUUGAGAGAGAGUACAACUUGAACCUAAUAAUUACUGCACCCAGUGUGGUUUACCGUGUCAACUGUUCCAAUAAUGAAACUGUUGAAUGUUCAAAUCCAUCCUUGCUUCCAGAACCUGGUAAACGGAGGUCGAUUGAAGAACCGUAUGUAAAGAUUGAAUUGUUAACACCAAAGGACUAUAUUGGCCCAAUAAUGGAGCUGGGUCAAGAGAGAAGAGGUGAAUUCAAGGAAAUGAACUACAUUACAGAAAACAGGGCCAAACUUACUUACAUGCUACCACUAGCAGAGAUGGUUGGUGAUUUCUUUGAUCAACUGAAAUCUCGAAGCAAAGGAUAUGCUAGCAUGGAAUAUUCAGUUGUCGGGUACAGGGUAAGUGACCUAGUAAAGCUGGACAUACAAAUCAAUGGUGAGCCUGUGGAAGCAUUGUCGACAAUUGUACACAAAGAGAAGGCAUACACUGUUGGCAGAGCGCUCACCCAGAAGCUGAAAGAACUUAUACCUCGGCAAAUGUUUAAAAUACCUAUUCAAGCAUGUAUUGGUGCAAAGGUCAUUGCAAGUGAAGCCCUAUCAGCCAUCAGGAAGGAUGUCUUGUCAAAAUGCUACGGGGGUGAUAUAUCAAGGAAAAAGAAGUUGUUGAAAAAACAGGCGGAAGGAAAGAAGAGAAUGAAAGCAAUCGGAAGGGUCGAAGUUCCUCAGGAGGCAUUCAUGGCCGUGCUGAAACUGGAAAAGGAGGUGCUUUGA